GCCCGGCUAGCUCAGUCGGUAGAGAGCACGAGACUCUUAAUCUUUUGGGUCGUGGAUUCGAGCCCACGUUGGGCG